AAUGUUUUUAUUGUCUAAUAUUUUAAGUAUUUUAUUUUUACUGUUUAUGUUUCAUUUGUAAUUUUAAAGUUUUAUUCUUGCUUAGAAGUUCAUUAUUUCUUUAUAUUAUAUACGAGUUUUGUUAAACUAAAUGUUCUUGUUUUGUAGUGAUUAAAUUUAAUUAUCAAUUUAUUUUGGAAUUAGUAAUUGAUUAAGUAUUGGCAAAUUUCGUGCCAGCAGCCGCGGUUAUACGAUUAAUGCAAGUGAAUAUUUUUGGUUAAUAUAGUUUAUAGUAAAUAUUUGAGUUUUAUUAAAAUUUUAUUAGGUGAAAUUUUAUUUUUUUAUACAACUCAUUAUUAUUAAUCUAUGAAACUUAAGUAAUAAACUAGGAUUAGAUACCCUAUUAUUUUAAGUGUUAAUUUUGUUUUACCUGGGUAGUAUUAGUUAAGGUCUUUAAACCCAAAGAAUUUGGCGGUAUUUCAUUCCAUUCAGAGGAACCUAUCUCGUAAUUGAUAGUACACGAUUGACUUUACUUGAUUUAUUUGUUUGUAUAUCUCCGUUAUCGGAAAAUCUUUUUGGAGCUAUAAUUUUCCUGUUUUUCCAUUAAAAAUUAUUUCAGGUCAAGGUGCAGCUUAUAAUCAAGUGUGUGAUGGGUUACAAUAGAUUUUUUUUAUUAUGGAUUUAAUUUUGAAAUGUUUUAAUGAAGGUGGAUUUGAUAGUAAUUUAAUUUAUUUAAUUUAAUUGAUAUUGGCUCUGAGGUGUGUACACAUCGCCCGUCGCUCUCAUUAUUGAUAUUACUUAAUUUAUUUUCAAUUAAUAUGAGAUAAGUCGUAACAUAGUAGAUGUACUGGAAAGUGUAUCUAGUAAGUUUAAAU
rnacentral:ncRNA from 1 species